GAUGAACGCUGGCGGCGUGCCUAAUACAUGCCAGUCGAGCGAACAGACGAGGAGCUUGCUCCUCUGACGUUAGCGGCGGACGGGUGAGUAACACGUGGAUAACCUACCUAUAAGACUGGGAUAACUUCGGGAAACCGGAGCUAAUACCGGAUAAUAUAUUGAACCGCAUGGUUCAAUAGUGAAAGACGGUUUUGCUGUCACUUCUAGCUGGAUCCGCGCCGCAUUAGCUAGUUGGUAAGGUAACGGCUUACCAAGGCAACGAUGCGUAGCCGACCUGAGAGGGUGAUCGGCCACACUGGAACUGAGACACGGUCCAGACUCCUACGGGAGGCAGCAGUAGGGAAUCUUCCGCAAUGGGCGAAAGCCUGACGGAGCAACGCCGCGUGAGUGAUGAAGGUCUUCGGAUCGUAAAACUCUGUUAUUAGGGAAGAACAAAUGUGUAAGUAACUAUGCACGUCUUGACGGUACCUAAUCAGAAAGCCACGGCUAACUACGUG
rnacentral:rRNA from 1 species